UUACGAGCUGUAAUGGCGAUCAUGUGUAUGGCCCCCGCGAAGCUCAAUUUUUUAGGGGUUUUUCCAUCUUCAUCAUCAAGGACAAGGAGUUUCUUAUUGAAGCCAGCGCAUUGCACCCCACUCCAGCCAGUCCAACCACAGUUGUUUUAAGAUUGAUGCAGGAAUCAUCUGUGAACUUUGCAAUGGUAAAGGAUGGUUGCUUUGUGAUUUUUGCAAGGGGCAAAAAACCAAUGUGAAAUC